UGGGGAAUAUUGGACAAUGGGCGAAAGCCUGAUCCAGCCAUGCCGCGUGUGUGAAGAAGGCCUUUUGGUUGUAAAGCACUUUAAGCGAGGAGGAGGCUACUUAGAUUAAUACUCUAGGAUAGUGGACGUUACUCGCAGAAUAAGCACCGGCUAACUCUGUGCCAGCAGCCGCGGUAAUACAGAGGGUGCGAGCGUUAAUCGGAUUUACUGGGCGUAAAGCGUGCGUAGGCGGCUUCUUAAGUCGGAUGUGAAAUCCCUGAGCUUAACUUAGGAAUUGCAUUCGAUACUGGGAAGCUAGAGUAUGGGAGAGGAUGGUAGAAUUCCAGGUGUAGCGAUGAAAUGCGUAGAGAUCUGGAGGAAUACCGAUGGCGAAGGCAGCCAUCUGGCCUAAUACUGACGCUGAGGUACGAAAGCAUGGGGAGCAAACAGG
rnacentral:rRNA from 1 species